UCUCUCUCCCUCGUCUCUUCCCAUCCCCCUCUUCCCCAUGCCGCCGCCGCCACUUUCCCCUCGCUCUCAGCCGCCUCGUCUCCUCCACCUCCGCCUGCACCACCUCCUCCUCCCCUGCCUCCACACCCAGCAAGCACGACCCGACCACGAGGAGGCCUUGGUCCCCCAGCCAAUCGCCGCUCGCCUCUUCCUCUCCUCUAACUGUCGCCUCUUUCUCUCCUCUUCCUUGUUCUCAGAUCGGGGGAAGGUCGUCACCAUGGAAGGCGGGAUGGGUGGAGGAGUAAGGGAGGCUGCCGAUGGGGGGAGGAGCAGUGAGGCUGGAGGUCGUCACGGAUGGCCUCCACCAACGGCAGGAGUAUGACACUGGUGCUCGGCUACAACUAGCAUCAAAAGGAGUAGCAUCAAUUAGUAUAGACUUUCCAUUUUACGCAAAUAUUGUUAAGUGGUUCUGUGUCUAAGAAAGUCGCAGGGAAGAGGCUCUGGGAGAGGGGUUUGAUUUCCCUUUUCGAGUUCUGCAGAACGAAUGCACGAAUUCCUACUGCAGAAUAAUUUGCUUUGGGAAAGCAGGUCGGCCUGCUUCACCCACGAGAUCCCAGAGGACAAACUACGCCACAGACGAAUCUGGUUUGACAACCAUGAACACCGAAGAAAUCCAUCAGCCCGGGUUGCCAGGUUCUCAACCAUUGACCAACAAUUAAUUAUGGGCUCUUGCUCUGGUCAGCUGUUAUCAUUGUACAAUCCUCACCUUAUUACAUAUCAAAGAAUUAUAAAAAAAAACAAGGCAAUGGCUUCAUCUCAGAAGAUUGCAUGCUAUAUAUAUACUAAAGGCGCAAGGGUCAUGGUUGAUGGAUAUAGGGACUGCUACAACCCACAGAUAGACUGCAGGAACACAAGGAGGGCAUUAUUUGUUACAACAAACAAGAAUUACCACACCAACAAUGUGCCUUUUUCUUGAUGACAAGCACUUUAACCAACAUUUUCUCACAACCAGUUAAAGGAAGGACCUCGCCUUCUCUUCUCCCCUCCUCCUCUCCAAUCUAGGCUGCCCAUAUGCGUCCUCGUUGAUUACUCAUGCCCUGUUGUUUCUAUCACUCAGAAAAUCUGGGCAGAGGAAGGGGAAAGAGAUGGUGAGAAGAGCAAGGUCUUAUCAGAGAUAGAAAUAGAAUGCUUGGAGGUGUACUGCAAGAAGGUGGACGAUGCCAAUCGGACUAGGGUCCAGCUGCACCAGUCUGUGGCCACUAAAGAAGCUGAUGUUGCAUUGCUAAUGGCUACUCUAGGGGAGCACAAGCUGUAUCUCAAGAAAGACAAGAGCUACGUGUCGCUUAAGGAACAACUUGCUGCUGUCGUUCUUGUGCUCGAUGACCUGACAUGCAAGACAGAAGAAAGGAUCAAGCAGUAUUAUGAUAUUUGACCACAGAUUGAGAAGAUAUGCUCUGAGUUAAGUGAGCAUAAUGAUAUUGCAGCUGACACCAUUUUGUUAUGUGUAUUUUUGCUGCUUCCCUUCCCCAUGUAUGAGGUGAGUACUAAUUUCACUUCCUUUUCCCUCCUAUGAUUAAUCCUCUUUGUAACCCCAAUAAGGUUCUUAUUUACUGUCUAUAUGUAUUUACAAUGUUUGAUUACGACCCCAAUGUUUGGUUAAUCUCUAUACAUUAUAUCGUGUUAGAUUUUUAGUUGUAUUGACCAAGCCACUAUUUUUUGGCCUUUCUAGGUUAUUUUAAUUGAUGUCGCUAUUUGAAUGGAUUCUGAAUGUGUAGUGAGAGAAAUAAAAUAUUGGUGUCGCUCGUAGAGAACAGAGGUGUUCUAGAGAAAAAACGGGCAAUGCUCCAUCGGCUAUCCGAUUGUAUAUACAAUUGCUCCCAGUACAUUUCAGUUCAUACAAUCAAUGAAUCUACUUUCUUCUGUGUAAUGGUAGGGUACACUUUUAUAUUUUCUCUUCUGCUCUCAGUUAGGUUCUAUUUCGAACUACUAAAACUUGUAUGUCAUUUUCAUUUAGAUUUGGUUAUUAUUUGCAUUAGAUGGUACAUUUAAUAUGAGAAUGGUGUUAAAUACUGCGGCGAUCUAUGUUCUAUUGAGUUUUCACCAGUCCUCAAUGCUUAAUGUUGAUCCAUUUGCAGCUUCACAAAUAUUAGGUAUAAUAAUGUUAUUUUGAUGAAUGAAUAACAAGGUAGUCCAAUAGAAUUGUAACUUUAGAGCCCUGCAAAUUGGCUGUGCAAAUUAUGAUGCUGGUUUAUAGAACUAAUUUGUGGUGUGCCUGUAUUUUGUCUUUAGUUGUAGGUUUCUCGGAAGCUUUAUUAUGGGCUGUGUUACUUGCCAAACAAGUUCUAAGCACAAGUCAGAUCCUUUCAUGGCUUCCCUUAUAAGAUGAUAUACAAGGAAUCUUAUUGCUUAGUGUAAUUAGACAAGUGCUUGGAUUAUUCUGUAGUGAAAAUAAUGUGAUUUUCCAUCUUCUUUUUGUUCUUAGAUCAGCUCACCUUAGGCCUUAGCCAUACAAAGUAAUUUGUGAAGAUAUAUGUUCCUUAACUUGAUCCCACCUUCCCUGAUUAAACAUAUGUCAUUACUCGAUUUGAUUAUUGUAUUGGUGUCUCAGUUCGCCGGAAUCGCUUGAUGUUUCCUUUGAAUUUAAAAGAGAUUCCAGCCAUAAGAUUCUUAGGUUCAUUGAAUCUGCGGCCGCGUCAUGGCAAGACGGCCACAAGGCUGUUGUUGCUUCCAGGCGCACAAAGGCCACCGAUCGGACCAGCGCGAAGAAACCCGUUCCGAUCGCCGCCGCAAGCCUCGCCUCAGCAACAGAUCAACCUUUGCACCUACAUCCACUUCAACGGGCCGUCUGUCAAAGCAGAAAAUGCAUGGUGUUAUCUGCAUCAAUGGUGAUAGCGGAUCUUCUGAAUCACUUCCUCAGCUUAACAAUGCAAGCUCACUCCAGCAACACAGGUAAUACAAACCAGCUGUUAUCAACAUCAGUGACGACAGUAAUGAUGGCGGGUCUUCUGAAUCGCCUCCUCGGCUUAACAAUGUAAUCUCACUCCAGCGACAAAGCAAAUGCAAACCAGCUGUUAUCAACAUCGGUGAUGGUAGUGGCCCUUCACAUCAUCGCAAGAAAGCCAGCAAAGACAAGCAAAAGAAGCACACAUUCGAUGGUACAGGACCAUCUACCUGUGCCACUGGGACCCGGCUGGAAGCUUUGAUGAUCAUUGCACAUUGAACAUAUAAACCGCUCUAGACUACCCGCCAAACCGAGGCAUCUGCGUCGUGAAAUCAUCCUUGUUCACUCGAUCUGCCUCGCUGGAGCUUUUUUACCGCGCUGGCAGAGAUCCCACCGCUUGUUUUUUUCACGUUAUCAUUUCUUACUCAUCUGGAUGAUGGGUGGGCCACAUCUCUCACGGGUCCGGCUUGGCGGGGUAGGUACUGUGGGUGCGUCGCUUGUGCCUGGGUGAAGAAAAACAAUUACAGACCAACGAGGCGUCGUGGGGCUGCCAGGCGGGUGGGUGGAUUGGCGCUGGUAUACCCUCACCGUCCUUCCAUGCACCCAGUUUUAGAGAGAAUCAGCACAGAUUUGGGGAUUCUCCUUAUAACAAUGAAAGAAAGCAUCAGAUUUUAAGAUUGAGGCAAUAUUUCUGUUCAGUUAGGACUUAGUAUUGUGUUCUGAUGGCUAGAGAACAGAGAACAAUUCUCCUUCGCUUCCUGAUAGCUGAAACUGGUUCGCACGAUUAACUUGUUGUAGAUAUUAUAUUUGUUCUUCACAAAAGAGAUUGCCGUGGACUAUGUGAUGCACAUGGCUGAUUGACUGAAUAUUUUGUUAAGGGUGAAAAUACUGCAGGGCCUUCUUCUGAAGAAUACUAUAGCAUCAGCAACAAUUUCUUUUUGUUUUCUACUAGCAACACCGACCAAACACCUGCACCUCUUAAUCCCAGGUUUUCUUGUUACUUGACCAAAACUACAAGCAGAGCAAUUUUAAGGUCAUGUUGUUCUCUUUGCAGAUAGGUACACAUCACAUAUAAUUUGGUUACUCUGAUAAUUGUAUGUCUUUCAAGAGAUUUAUACACACACAAGCAGAUACAAAAUCAUAGACUACAGUUGCUGAUAGUAUAUUCUUCCUUAUAUCAUU